UACGGAGGGUGCAAGCGUUAUCCGGAUUCACUGGGUUUAAAGGGUGCGUAGGUGGCCUGUUAAGUCAGGGGUGAAAGACGGUAGCUUAACUAUCGCAGUGCCCUUGAUACUGAUGGGCUUGAAUGAACUAGAGGUAGGCGGAAUGUGACAAGUAGCGGUGAAAUGCAUAGAUAUGUCACAGAACACCAAUUGCGAAGGCAGCUUACUAUGGUUUUAUUGACACUGAGGCACGAAAGCGUGGGGAUCAAACAGG
rnacentral:rRNA from 1 species